AGUGAACGCUGGCGGUAGGCCUAACACAUGCAAGUCGAACGGCAGCACAGUAAGAGCUUGCUCCUACGGGUGGCGAGUGGCGGACGGGUGAGGAAUACAUCGGAAUCUACUUUUUCGUGGGGGAUAACGUAGGGAAACUUACGCUAAUACCGCACACGACCUACGGGUGAAAGCAGGGGAUCUUCGGACCUUGCGCGAUUGAAUGAGCCGAUGUCGGAUUAGCUAGUUGGCGGGGUAAAGGCCCACCAAGGCGACGAUCCGUAGCUGGUCUGAGAGGAUGAUCAGCCACACUGGACCUGAGACACGGUCCAGACUCCUACGGGAGGCAGCAGUGGGGAAUAUUGGACAAUGGGCGCAAGCCUGAUCCAGCCAUACCGCGUGGGUGAAGAAGGCCUUCGGGUUGUAAAGCCCUUUUGUUGGGAAAGAAAAGCAGCAGGUUAAUACCCCGCUGUUCUGACGGUACCCAAAGAAUAAGCACCGGCUAACUUCGU
rnacentral:rRNA from 1 species